CCCGGUGAGAGUUAUUUUAAACGGUCGCAGUUGGUAGCUGUGCUAAGGUAGCGUAAUCAGUUGCCCUUUAAAUGAGGGAAGGAAUGAAUGGUUUGACGUGAGAGAGUCUGUCUCUUGGGUAUAGUGUGAAUUUUUUAUUUUGGUGAAAAGGCCAAAGAAUUAAAAGUAGACGAGAAGACCCUAUCGAGCUUGAUAAAAUUGGUAAAUGUUUAUUUUAAUAAGUUUAAUUGGGGCAAUUGGAAAGGAAGAAAAGCCUUUCUUUUAUAUGGGGAUCCAGGAUUUUUCUGAUAAACAGAAUAAGUUACCGUAGGGAUAACAGCGUUAUCCCUUUUGAGAGGACAAAUUGAAGAGGGG
rnacentral:rRNA from 1 species